rnacentral:lncRNA from 1 species
GCAGAACUUGUAAAUUCUGACCCUCGGUCAUGAAUUAUCUGAAGAGGACAUCCAUAUCUAGGAUAUAUCUCAUUCAAAAAAUCUGGUGGUCGUGAAAAGAAAUCAGCAAUAACAUUUGCCUUUCCUGGAAGAUACUCUAUCUUACAGUUGUAACCACUAAUAGACAAUGCCCAUAACUGAAUUUUCUUGUUUUGCAUUGGACUUUUUAAUAAAUACUGAAGCGGAGAA